AUUGAACGCUGGCGGCAUGCCUUACACAUGCAAGUCGAACGGCAGCACGGGAGCAAUCCUGGUGGCGAGUGGCGAACGGGUGAGUAAUAUAUCGGAACGUGCCCAGUCGUGGGGGAUAACGUAGCGAAAGCUACGCUAAUACCGCAUACGAUCUACGGAUGAAAGCGGGGGAUCGCAAGACCUCGCGCGAUUGGAGGGGCCGAUAUCAGAUUAGCUAGUUGGUGGGGUAAAGGCCCACCAAGGCGACGAUCUGUAGCUGGUCUGAGAGGACGACCAGCCACACUGGAACUGAGACACGGUCCAGACUCCUACGGGAGGCAGCAGUGGGGAAUUUUGGACAAUGGGCGCAAGCCUGAUCCAGCAAUGCCGCGUGCAGGAUGAAGGCCUUCGGGUUGUAAACUGCUUUUGUACGGAACGAAACGGCGAGCUCUAAUAAAGUUUGCUAAUGACGGUACCGUAAGAAUAAGCACCGGCUAACUACGUGCCAGCCGCCGCGGUAACAC
rnacentral:rRNA from 1 species